CAUACGGAAAGUAAAUGGAACAAGCAUAUUUCGACGGCCCAACCGGAACUUUUCCGGAAUAAACGGUUUGUUUGAAAAGGUUGUCCUCUCUUACCGAUUGGAAAGUUUCAACCGGUAAAUGUUGUUCCAUUUACAUUUUUUAAAUUUUUUUCACCAGUUCCAGGCUCUUCGCGAUUUAACAAUUGAAAUUAUUAAAUGGAAAACGAAUAAUCCGAAUGGGAUUUUCUAUCCGAAAUUU